UAGGUAGAUGGGUAGAUUCAAACUUUCGUCAGUUCAAGCCUACCGCUAGUAGAUAUUGUCAUCUUUGGGCUUUCCCUUUUGGGUUUUCCUUCAAGGUUUUUAAAACGUGUCUACUAGGGGGAAGUUUCUAUACCCUUAUAAAGAAUGGUUCGUUCUUCUCCCCAAUCAAUAUAAGAUCUCAUACAAGAUCUUAGUUGAGUUAUGCUCGUGUUGGCAUUAUCUGAAAUUAUAUAUCUUCUGUUAUAAUACUUUUAAUUAUUCAUUCAACUGUUGUAGUAGUUCUAUGGUAGUCAUUUUCAGGUUCUUUAAAGUGGGUGAGUGGGAUGAUGUUGGUUGUAGCUUGUUUAUCUAAGUUCAACCACGUGUGUGGUUGGAGGAUUUUGAAGCUUUGAUUCCUUAAUUAAAGGUAUAUGCCAUUAAAUGAAGGGUAUAUACCUUAUAGGAGGCCUGAAUAGGUAAAACAAAGCAAAGUAUACUGUUGGGUUUACUUCAAUUAAUUCCAUCUUACCACCUUAUUAUUUCCCUCUCCUUUAUAUAUACAGAAGGAGCGGUAACAAAAAAGUUCAUUUUAUUAUCAAUACAUAAUCAUUGGAAUGAAUCUAACUCCAUUCACUUCUACAUUUCAGGUCCAUCCAUUAAUGAACAACAGAAGAACUCAUAUUGAAGGUGCAGCGCAGCUCCAUAAUGGAAGUGGCAUCGAAUCAAGUUUUACAUCGGGAUUAAUGGAUAUUUGAUGUGCAACGCAAUGACAAUAACCUCCAUUUAAUCCUCUCCUUUCUAUCGCUUGUUCCAUCCCGUCCCGUCCCGUCUUGCCUUCUUUUCUUCCGACGAAAAUAUAGAUAUAUAAUUGAGUUUUGAUGGUUGAACUA